GACGAACCGAGCGAGCGUUGUUCGGAAUAACUGGGCUUAAAGCGCGCGCAGGCGGCCUCGCGCGCCCGACGUGAAAGCCCCCGGCUUAACCGGGGAGGGUCGUUGGGGACGGCGGGGCUUGAGGGCGGGAGAGGGUGGUGGAAUUCCCGGUGUAGUGGUGAAAUGCGUAGAGAUCGGGAGGAACACCCGUGGCAAAGGCGGCCACCUGGGCCGACCCUGACGCUGAGGCGCGAAGGCGUGGGGAGCGAACGGG
rnacentral:rRNA from 1 species